AAUGCUAGGGGUGCCAAUUAAGGCUGAGAGAUAAGAAAUUAUUAACCCUUGUACCUGAUCUGGAUAGUGCCAGCGUAGGAAAGCUUAUUAA
rnacentral:ncRNA from 1 species